GAUGAACGCUGGCGGCGUGCCUAAUACAUGCGAGUCGAGCGAACAGACGAGGAGCUUGCUCCUCUGACGUUAGCGGCGGACGGGUGAGUAACACGUGGAUAACCUACCUAUAAGACUGGGAUAACUUCGGGAAACCGGAGCUAAUACCGGAUAAUAUAUUGAACCGCAUGGUUCAAUAGUGAAAGACGGUUUUGCUGUCACUUAUAGAUGGAUCCGCGCCGCAUUAGCUAGUUGGUAAGGUAACGGCUUACCAAGGCAACGAUGCGUAGCCGACCUGAGAGAGUGAUCGGCCACACUGGAACUGAGACACGGUCCAGACUCCUACGGGAGGCAGCAGUAGGGAAUCGGCCGCAAUGGGCGAAAGCCUGACGGAGCAACGCCGCGUGAGUGAUGAAGGUCUUCGGAUCGUAAAGCUCUGUUAUUAGGGAAGAACAAAUGUGGAAGUAACUAUGCACGUCUUGACGGUACCUAAUCAGAAAGCCACGGCUAACUACGUG
rnacentral:rRNA from 1 species